CCCUUAGAUGUUCUGGGCUGCACGCGCGCGACAAUGACGUUUGCAACGAGAUUGCGAGGCCGUCAGGUCGAGCUGAUCUUGCAAGCUGCGUCGUGAUAGGGACAGUCGAUUGCAAUUAUUCGACUCGAACGAGGAAUUCCUUGUAAUCGCGCAUCAUCAGUGCGCGCUGAAUACGUCCCUGCCCUUUGUACACACCGCCCGUCGCUCCUACCAAUUGAGUGAUCCGGUGAAUGUUUUGGAUCGGCUUCAAGUUGGUUCGCGCCUCUUGCUUGCUGUGAAAUCAUGUAAACCUUAUUGCUUAGAGGAAGGAGAAGUCGUAACA
rnacentral:rRNA from 1 species